GGUCAGGUUGUACGCAAUAAGAACCCGCAAACCCCGUCAGGACCGGAAGGUAGCAGCGGUAGCGAUGUUUUUUAUGUGCCGUACACGACCUGGCCGGA
rnacentral:SRP_RNA from 1 species